rnacentral:rRNA from 1 species
UACGGGGGGGGCAAGCGUUGUUCGGAAUUACUGGGCGUAAAGGGCUCGUAGGCGGCCAACUAAGUCAGACGUGAAAUCCCUCGGCUUAACCGGGGAACUGCAUCUGAUACUGGAUGGCUUGAGUUCGGGAGAGGGAUGCGGAAUUCCAGGUGUAGCGGUGAAAUGCGUAGAUAUCUGGAGGAACACCGGUGGCGAAGGCGGCCUGCUGGGACAGUGCUGACGCUGAGGCGCGACAGCGUGGGGAGCAAACAGG